UAGACACCAAGGCAAACCACGUUAAGCACCCCUGAUACAGGAUUAAACUAAGUGAGCCCUGCCCUAAUGUCUUCGGUUGGGGCGACCAUGGGGUAAAAUAAACCCCCCAUGCGGAAAGGGAGGACCACCCUCUCAAAGCCAAGAGUUCCCACUCUAAUAAACAGAACUUCUGACCUAAAGAUCCGGCAAAGCCGAUCAACGGACCAAGUUACCCC
rnacentral:rRNA from 1 species